ensembl:lncRNA
CCUGGAUAGUGGGAUGGAGCACUGUAGGUAUUUGUUACAUAAUUUAAGACAAUGUCAGGUGAUUUCCCAAACUGCAUUAGGCAUAUUUCUGCCAAACAGGGUCAUCUCAGGUCAGCUGGAGGUACUUUCACCUUGCCGUCUGCCUCAUCAGGGCUGGGUUUACAAUCAACAGACAAUCCCCCAAGCAGUUGAUUGGUCGACUCCAUGGCUAAUUGGAGCUGACCCCGCCCCCUCGUCAAGUUACAGCUGUAUCCCAUUAGACUCUUCUCCAGUUAUAAAAGCCAGUGUUCUGUUGUUCAAGACAGAGAUCUUUGCUGGAAUUUUUUUUAUUUUUUAUUUUCUUUUAUUUUAUUUAUUUUAUUUUAUUUUUUUAAUGAGAAUUCAAUUGCUGAGAGAGGAGGCUGAUGGCUGAGGGUCAUAUUAUGUUGGAGCGUGAGACAGGCAGUUGGUAUGUACUGUAUAGGUGGUUGCUCAGUCCGAUAGAACUUAUUUGAUGUCCUGUGUUUCUCAGUUGGUUUGUGAAAUUGUUUAAUAUUCUGUUUCAUGUGUUCCCAGGGGGGAAGGGGAAGGCACCUAGGGAGUGCUUAGGCAAGAGGCCCGUGGGCAUACAUAUACCAUAGUAUACACUGUCUAGGCACACUAGGUAAGACCUGGGCGGACCACCCCCUGUAUUUUGGUUAGGGCACCAGGUGGUGCUAGUUAGGUAAGUAGUGGUUAGGCAGGUAAGAUAGGAAAGGGGGGCUUCUAGAUUUACUUUCUUUUGCUUUGGUUCUGUCCAGCCCCCUUUUCCACACCUUUCUCACACCUACGGUCCAUACCUCUUUCGCUUCACGGGGAGUUGAGUUGUAGCAGGGUGUUGCGUUCCGUCUUCAUGCAGACGUGCGUAACAUGAGGUCACUAAACACACUCAGCAGAUUCAUAUUCUCUCUUCAAACAGUAAAAUCAAAAUUUUCUUGAUUUUUUUAUUCAAAAAUGAAGUGAGAUUUGAGUUGAAACUUCACUGACAGUUGACGUUGUUGUGAAU